GAUUGGGUGGCAGAGGUGGAGGUGUCAGACUGAGAGCCUUUCAGCAAAGCUCAUGGAACAGAGCUAUCCACGUGGAAGGCACCUGGAACAGAGGUGGGUACUGACUGAGCUUGCUACCUGGCCUGCUGCCUGGUGCCACCUGCACUGAGCUAAAGCAGACAACUCACUGCUGUCCUCAAGCGGUAAGUCAAGGGAGCACGGGUUUUGCUGAGACAGCAACAGCCACCCGAUGAUGAAAUCAACGGUCGGUCGGAGUGGAAGAGAGGAAAUACGUAGCAUCUUCCAGCUGGACAAGGAACUGACUUUUUGGAGGCUGAGAUCUAGCAACAUCCUGGAACUGAUACAAAAGAAAUUAUUUAGGGGGCUACGAGAGGAGCAAUUUACAAACUGAUAAAGGACCCCAAGUAUCUGACCAGCAAGCCCAAGCAAGGAUUCGGUGUUUCCGAGAGCGCCUUGGGGGAUCUGCACUGCGUCUCUGAAGGUAGCACCAGCGCGGAGCAGGCAGGGUAGGGCAGAGGCCCAGACAGAUUGCCUGAAUGAUCUGAAGGAAUCUCCCACGCCGGCCCCGCCCAUCCCGCGGGCCCAUCUUCAUGCCCCAAAUGUUAGGUGACCUUCUUUCUAGUCCCAUAACCUCCCAGUUUACCGUUCGUUUCUGCCACCCAACCUGGAGACAGCAGUUGUGAAAUCUUCCCAGGCAUGUCACUUGGCGGGUCGCCAUCAGGACUACUAGGACAGACCUGACCAAAAGUCUCACUCACCAAGCUUCUCCGACCACCCCGGGGUGUCCACACUCGGUUCCUCCCAUGACAGCAGCUCCUUGUUCAGAGAGCUCUCCGUAUCACCUUGGAAAAAGAUGAAAAACGCAGUGGAAAAAUGAACAAGGGAUCCGAGUGUCAUCGUAAACACUCAAACCUGUUCAACUUCACUUAGAAUUAGAGACUUGGAAAUCCCUGCCCAUGAAGAACCCAUCUUAAUGGCAAGGAUCACAAGUUUGGCCACAUGCCUUACAAAAUGUUUCUAUGUAUUCGAGACAGAUGGGCUUCAAUCUAGAUCUCAGCAUCCUGCCUCAGCAUCCUAGGGUUCAAGGAUAAUUGUGCACCACCACGCCCUGUUUCUGUCACAAUUCUGAAAGAAGUUCUGCAAAACACAAAUGUGUGUCCCACCUCAGCUCCAAGCAACACCCGAGGCCUGGAUGGUAACACCCAUAUCACCAACCAAAGACCUGCCACUGCCAACCCAGAUGCUCUGAGGGGCCUUUGUCUGGAAGCCAUCCCCACUAGCUAUUGUAUUAGCUCAGAUUUGGAUCCCAUCAUUAAACUUUACUCUUUGACUUCAUAAAGAUUCUCUUCCCUAUCCGCCUGACUAGUUACAAAAGUCAACAAUCUCUACUACAGGUCUCAAAAGGAGGAUUAAUAGUUGCUUGAUGAAGCAAGAAAGCAAAUGUGGUUGGCCAUAUGUUGCCAAGAAAAGGAAGAAUGUGUCUCGUUUUCAAAGAAGAGGAAGAGGAGGAAGAGAAAGAAGAAGAAGAAGAAGAAGAAGA